UACGUAGGGUGCGAGCGUUGUCCGGAAUCAUUGGGCGUAAAGGGCUCUUAGGCGGUUUUUCUCGUCGGGAGUGAAAACCUUGGGCUUAACUCAGGGCUUGCUUUCGAUACGGGCAGACUAGAGGUAUGCAGGGGAGAACGGAAUUCCUGGUGUAGCGGUGAAAUGCGCAGAUGUCAGGAGGAACACCGGUGGCGAAGGCGGUUCUCUGGGCAUGAUCUGACGCUGAGGAGCGAAAGUGUGGGGAGCGAACAGG
rnacentral:rRNA from 1 species